rnacentral:rRNA from 1 species
AUGGACGGCCUCCUCCAUUGGGACUUGUCCCCCGGCCUUAAGGUCGAGGGCCAGGUGCGUUCACGUUUUGGAUCUAUGGUCCACUUCGUCCCCAACCCCAACUCCAAGGAGUUCUUCCUUGAAGUUUCCUUCUCUUCGGCCUCUUUUCCUCUCUCGGUGGAAUCUGUUGGUUUGGCCCUCCAAUCUUGUAUUGGUGGAAUCAGUGAUGGUUUUAGGGUGCUCUGUUUGGGUGAUCGUCGUUUUCGAUUUUCGGUGGCAUCUAGUCGUGUUGGUCAUUUCAUCUAUGGCUUAAGAGAUUGCAUUUGGCCGGACUUCGUAUGUCAUUUUCAUCUUCAUCGUGGAGCCAAAUCUCAUCAUAGACCUCAUGAUUGGCAUGCUGACACUGAGAUCAAUGAUUUGGCCUCAUCACCAGGCCCGGCUAUCAAAUCCAAAUGGCUAUCUUCCAAAUCAAAUGUGGAUCUUGAUUCGGCUUCUAUCUCCGUCCUUGAAAAAUUUGGGUUGACAUCCAGGCCGACGGUGAGACAUUCCGGCGAGGAUACCCCAUCGGAGAUUUCUUUUGGCAGGUUUUCGGUUCCGUUUUCUCGGGAUAAUCAUAAUAUUUUUUGGAUUGGGGCCAUUAAAUUGCCAAUUAGAUCUGGGUCAUCAGAUAAGCUGCCAUCUUAUCAGGGUCAUCGGUUUAAGCAACUUUUAUGGGAUUCCAUUCCAGAUGAUAAAUUGCAUCAUAUUCUUGAUGGUUGA